rnacentral:rRNA from 1 species
AUACGUAGGUGACAAGCGUUAUCCGGAUUUACUGGGCGUAAAGGGCGUGUAGGCGGUCUUGCAAGUCAGAAGUGAAAUUCCUGAGCUCAACUCGGGCGCUGCUUCUGAAACUGCAGGACUUGAGUGCUGGAGGGGAUAGCGGAAUUCCUAGUGGAGCGGUAAAAUGCGCAGAUAUUAGGAAGAACACCGGUGGCGAAGGCGGCUAUCUGGACAAUAACUGACGCUGAGGCGCGAAAGCGUGGGGAGCAAACAGGAUUAGAUACCCGGGUAGUCCACGCCGUAAACGAUGAAUACUAGGUGUAGGGGGUAUCGACUCCCUCUGUGCCGCAGUUAACACAAUAAGUAUUCCGCCUGGGGAGUACGGCCGCAAGGUUGAAACUCAAAGGAAUUGACGGGG